GUCUUUGGCCAUGCUACCCUGAAAGCACCUGAUCUCUCCUGAUCUCAAAAGCUAAGCAGGAUAAGGCCUGGUUAGUAUUUGGAAGGGAGACUGCCUGGAAACACAGAGUGCUGCAGGCU
rnacentral:rRNA from 1 species